UAGGGAAUAUUGGGCAAUGGACGAAAGUCUGACCCAGCCAUGCCGCGUGCAGGAAGAAGGCCUUCUGGGUUGUAAACUGCUUUUGAACGGGAACAAAGAGCCCUUGCGAGGGAAGUUGAGUGUACCGUUAGAAUAAGCACCGGCUAACUCCGUGCCAGCAGCCGCGGUAAUACGGAGGGUGCAAGCGUUGUCCGGAUUUAUUGGGUUUAAAGGGUGCGUAGGCGGUCUUUUAAGUCAGUGGUGAAAUCCUGCAGCUCAACUGUAGAAUUGCCAUUGAUACUGAAAGACUUGAGUACAGACGAGGUAGGCGGAAUUUAUGGUGUAGCGGUGAAAUGCAUAGAUACCAUAAAGAACACCUAUUGCGAAGGCAGCUUACUAGGCUGUAACUGACGCUGAGGCACGAAAGUGUGGGGAUCAAACAGGAUUAGAUACCCUGGUAGUCCACACUGUAAACGAUGAUUACUCGAUGUUCGCGAUAUACAGUGAGCGUCCAAGCGAAAGCGUUAAGUAAUCCACCUGGGAAGUACGAUCGCAAGAUUGA
rnacentral:rRNA from 1 species